UGGGGAAUAUUGCACAAUGGGGGAAACCCGUGAUGCAGCGACGCCGCGUGAACGAAGAAGUAUUUCGGUAUGUAAAGUUCUAUCAGCAGGGAAGAUAAUGACGGUACCUGACGAGGAAGCCACGGCUAACUACGUGCCAGCAGCCGCGGUAAUACGUAGGUGGCGAGCGUUGUCCGGAAUUAUUGGGCGUAAAGGGAGCGCAGGCGGGAGAUCAAGUCUAUCUUAAAAGUGCGGGGCUCAACCCCGUGAGGGGAUGGAAACUGGUCUUCUUGAGUGCAGGAGAGGAAAGCGGAAUUCCUAGUGUAGCGGUGAAAUGCGUAGAUAUUAGGAGGAACACCAGUGGCGAAGGCGGCUUACUGGACGAUAACUGACGCUGAGGCUCGAAAGCGUGGGGAGCAAACAGGAUUAGAUACCCUGGUAGU
rnacentral:rRNA from 1 species